CGUCGUUAAAAGAAUGAAUGUAAAGAUCUCAUUCGUGAGCGUUUAAACAUGGCUCUAUUUUCCAUCAAACGCAUCACAGAAUAUAUUAUAAAAUGUUUUUUUUUAUAUCAUGUAAAUACGUACCAUUUUUAUAUUAACAAAAAAAAAAAAAACAUCUAGUACCAAUGUUUUAGAAUACUGUAUUACCGUGGAUUAUGAGAUUGCUGAAUUAUAUCUACGUAGGUUAAUUUUUAAGCUAAGCCAUGAAAUCCGUGUAGUAAAGAAUUCACUUGUACGAUAACCAUAAUCGAGAACUGUCGUGCCGGUAAUCGGCAUUUUUUUUAAAUCGCAUAUAGCAAAUCGGGCAUCCCAGUUAAUUUAUUACACUUCUCAAAAAAGGUUGAGAGAUUUUCAACAGGAGAGAAUAAAUAUGUUUUAAUAUAGCAAAUAAGUAAUUUACUGGCAUAUGAUAUACUUUAACUAGAUGAAAACUAAAACUAAGGUUAACUAAGUUACUACAUGCUAGAAUAUAUAUUCUUAUGCGCCGAACAUGGUAGACACAUGUAUUGGAAUAAAGUGCAUUUAUGAUAUAUAUACAUAUAUAGUAUAUACUAUAUAUAUAAUAUAUACGUGUUCCUUUUUAAUACAAAGUUUUUAUUUGAUUGUAUUUACACAUUCACAUUUCACAUGUAUUGAAAUAAAGUGCAUUUAUGAUAUAUAUUAUAUA